GAUGAACGCUGGCGGCGUGCCUAAUACAUGCAAGUCGAACGAAAGGACGAGAAGCUUGUUGCUCGGAUGUUAGCGGAACACGUGUGAGUAACGCGUGUAACAUGCACCUAUAUUACGGGUAAAUUCUCGGAAAACGGGCGCUUAUAGGAUAGAAUAUUUUGAACCGUAUUGUGGAUUGGAGAGAUACGGCGGUGGUGGCUCGUAUAGCGGGAUCCGCGCUGCUUGAGCUGGUAGGUAAGUUAAAGGCUUUUCAAGGCAACCAGGCGUAAACGACCUGAGAGGGUGAUCGGCCACACUGGAACUGAGACACGGUCCAGACUCCUACGGGAGGCAGCAGAAUGGAAUCUUCGGCAAUGGGCGAAAGCCUGACGGAGCAACGGCGAGUGAGUGAUGAAGGUCUUCGGAUCGUAAAACUCUGUUAUUAGGGAAGAACAGAUUUGUAAGUAAAUGUGCACAGCUUGACGGUACCUAAUCAGAAAGCCACGGCUAACUACGUG
rnacentral:rRNA from 1 species